AUAUACCAAAAGUAAACCUGCUGAAAGGUAGGGACACAAAGCCAUAGGGUCUAAAACUAUUAAAAGUAUGAUAGCCUGGCUGCAAGG
rnacentral:ncRNA from 1 species